AACGAACGCUGGCGGCAGGCUUAACACAUGCAAGUCGAGCGCCCCGCCCGGGGUGCGGCAGGCGGGUGGGUAGCGCGUGGGGACGUACCCUUAUCUUCGGGAUAGCUCCGGGAAACUGGAAUUAAUACCGAAUGUGCCCUUUGGGGGGAAGAUAGAUCGGAUAAGGAUCGGCCCGCGUUGGAUUAGCUGGUGGGUGGGGUAAAGGCCUACCAAGGCGACGAUCCAGAGCUGGUCUGAGAGGAUGAUCAGCCACAUUGGGACUGAGACACGGCCCAAACUCCUAGGGGAGGCAGCAGUGGGGAAUAUUGGACGAUGGGCGCAAGCCUGAUCCAGCCAUGCCGGGUGAGUGAUGAAGGCCUUAGGGUUGUAAAGCUCUUUCACCGGAGAAGAUAAUGACGGUAUCCGGAGAAGAAGCCCCGGCUAACUUCGUG
rnacentral:rRNA from 1 species